UCGAGAAUCUUUUGCAAUGGGCGAAAGCCUGACAAAGCAACGCCGCGUGAGUGAUGAAGGUCUUCGGAUUGUAAAGCUCUGUCACCUGGGACGAAACCGUCCGGUGCUAACAUCGCCGGGCAUUGACGGUACCAGGGGAGGAAGCCCCGGCUAACUUCGUGCCAGCAGCCGCGGUAAUACGAAGGGGGCAAGCGUUGUUCGGAAUCACUGGGCGUAAAGGGUGCGUAGGUGGUUAUGUAAGUCGGAUGUGAAACCCCCUGGCUUAACUAGGGAUCUGCAUUCGAAACUGCAUAGCUUGAGUACGGGGGAAGAGAGUGGAAUUCUCAGUGUAGCGGUGAAAUGCGUAGAUAUUGAGAAGAACACCUGUGGCGAAAGCGGCUCUCUACCUUGAUACUGACACUGAGGCACGAAAGCUAGGGUAGCAAACG
rnacentral:rRNA from 1 species